rnacentral:tRNA from 2 species
CGGGGUAUGGCCCAGCCUGGUUAAGGCGCCGCGUUCGGGACGCGGAGAUCAGAGGUUCAACUCCUCUUACCCCGACCA